rnacentral:rRNA from 1 species
CCUACGGGAGGCAGCAGUGAGGAAUAUUGGUCAAUGGGCGCAAGCCUGAACCAGCCAAGUAGCGUGAAGGAUGACUGCCCUACGGGUUGUAAACUUCUUUUAUAAAGGAGUAAAGUGAGGCACGUGUGCCUGUAUGUAUGGACUUUAUGAAUAAGGAUCGGCUAAAUCCGGGCCAGCAGCCGCGGGUAUAAGGAGGAUUCGAGCGUUUGUCGGAUUUUUUGGGUUUAAAGGGGGAGUAGAGGGGUGGUUAAGGAAGUUGUGAAAGUUUGCGGGUCAACCGUAAGAUUGCAAUUGAUACUGGCAGUCUUGAGUACAGUUGAGGUAGGCGGAAUGCGUGGUGUAGCGGUGAAAUGCUUAGAUAUCACGAAGAACUCCGAUUGCGAAGGCAGCUUACUAGACUGCCACUGACAUUGAGGCUCGAAAGUGUGGGGAUCGAACAGGAUUAGAUACCCUAGUAGUC